rnacentral:rRNA from 1 species
CAGCCGCCGCGGUAAUACCGGUGGCUCGAGUGGUGGCCGCUAUUAUUGGGUCUAAAGGGUCCGUAGCCGGCUUGAUAAGUUACCUGGGAAAUCCGGUGGCCUAACCAUCGGGCGGCCAGGUAAUACUAUCAGGCUCGGGACUAGGAGAGACCAGAGGUACUCAUGAGGUAGGAGUGAAAUCCUGUAAUCUUAUGAGGACCACCAGUGGUGAAGACGUCUGGUUAGAAUAGGUCCGACGGUGAGGGACGAAGGCUGGGGGCGCAAACCGGAUUAGAUACCCGGGUAGUCCCAGCAGUAAACGAUGCCAGCUAUGUGUUGCUGGAACCAUGGGUUCCAGCAGUGCCGAAGGGAAGCCGUGAAGCUGGCCACCUGGGAAGUACGGUCGCAAGGCUGAAACUUAAAGGAAUUGGCGGG